rnacentral:tRNA from 1 species
GCCGCCUUAGCUCAGCUGGUAGAGCACCACUCUCGUAAAGUGGGGGUCGUCGGUUCGAGUCCGACAGGCGGCU